ACCUUGGAACUUGGCAGAGAUGCCUUGGUGCCUUCGGGAACCGUGAGACAGGUGCUGCAUGGCUGUCGUCAGCUCGUGUUGUGAAAUGUUGGGUUAAGUCCCGCAACGAGCGCAACCCUUAUCCUUUGUUGCCAGCGGUUCGGUCGGGAACUCAAAGGAGACUGCCAGUGAUAAACUGGAGGAAGGUGGGGAUGACGUCAAGUCAUCAUGGCCCUUACGAGUAGGGCUACACACGUGCUACAAUGGCAUAUACAAAGAGAAGCGACCUCGCGAGAGCAAGCGGACCUCAUAAAGUAUGUCGUAGUCCGGAUCGGAGUCUGCAACUCGACUCCGUGAAGUCGGAAUCGCUAGUAAUCGUGGAUCAGAAUGCCACGGUGAAUACGUUCCCGGGUCUUGUACACACCGA
rnacentral:rRNA from 1 species